rnacentral:rRNA from 1 species
UACGGAGGGUGCAAGCGUUAUCCGGAUUCACUGGGUUUAAAGGGUGCGUAGGUGGGCAAGUAAGUCAGUGGUGAAAUCUCCGGGCUUAACCCGGAAACUGCCGUUGAUACUAUCUGUCUUGAAUAUCGUGGAGAUGAGCGGAAUACGUCAUGUAGCGGUGAAAUGCUUAGAUAUGACGUAGAACACCGAUUGCGAAGGCAGCUCGUUACACGGUUAUUGACACUGAGGCACGAAAGCGUGGGGAUCAAACAGG